CCCCCGUGCCUGCCGGACCCGCGGCAGCGGCAGCCCGGCCAGGCCUGGCGUGAUCAGCAGUAGCUUGAAGCUUGGGACGAUCUGCUGGCGCUGCAACCGAGCCUUCCCUGCGGGAUGACUAGGAACUGCUUCCCGGCUCGACCUCUUCAGUUUCCUUGGAAGAUCAUACCAGGAGGCUCCCUAUUGUCUUCACAGGAAGCAUUGGGCAGCGCACUCUAUGCCCCCGGACAUCAGCCCUCUGUGACCUGGAACAGGUGAAUGCAGAAGGAGAAAUUAGCACAGAGGAAGCAGGGACACUCUGCUGCCAUUUGGAGGGACACAGCCAAGGUUGGCAAGGACACUUUGUACCAGACCAGCCAGCUCCAUCCACAACAGCACUGGGCAGUUCUCAGACAAAUGUAUUUAGUUCCAUGAAAUACCAAAUCCAUCAUCAUCGUCAAUAUGUGCUGCUAACCUUCACUGCACGCUCCCAGCCUGUUUGAUUCCCCAUCCCCUUUGCCCAAGGCACAAGUAACUCAUGGUCAGAACACUGCGGUACAGAAGCUAAGGGAACUCAAAUGCUUUGGACAGGCAGGGACAGUUUGUGUAGCAGCAACUACAAUAUUGAAAGCUGUACAAGCAUCUUGUGUUUCACACCGUGAUCCUGAUCCUGCUUUAAUAUAGUCACUACAUUGCCAUUCAAGAAGUACACCACCCAAAGGCUAGAGAGACAUUUCUGAGACAGGGCCCCCUGAUGCUUCCCUCAAUGAUAUCCUUCUACAUAACCCAAGGGACCAUAGAUCUGCUCAGAAGCAAACUGCAAGCGUCAAUUCUACCUCUUCUCUGAAUAGAAAUUCAUGGAACCUGCAGAAGUACCUCCUACUGAUCCCAUUGCUGACUUUCCUUGGGCCUGGAACAACAACUCUCUGCUCUUACCAAUGAUGCUGCCUCCUCUAGUCCCCACCAACUUGUUCUCAUUGAAACCCAACCCACACUGAUCCACAAUCUUCACACAGGCCACCCAUGAGUGAAGCAGACUGCAGGUACUAUCCACUCUUCUAUAGGGAUUCUUUUGUGCCUAGUAAGGUCUUAGUUUGGACAAAGCUUUCCCUGCAGGGUUUCCAGGGUCUCUUGCCUUGUGGAUUUUCUGAUGCCUAGUAGGUAGUCACUACUGCUGAGGCUUUUCCCACAGCCAGUUUCACAGUUUCUGUCCUCUGGAUUACACAAUGUGCAACAAGGAAACUGCUUCAAGCAUCACCUUCUACAUUCAGGGCAUGUGUGUAGUUUCUCUGUAGGAAUUAGAUGAUGGGCACUAAGCUAAUCCCUCUUUGUAAAGCUUUUUCUCAAGUCAGGGCAUACAUGUGGUAUCUCCCUGAGUGC